UCUAAUUUCACUCUCACACACAAUAUGUGAUAAUUGUUGAAUUUUGUUGGUAAGUUUGAUAAUGGGGUUGUGUUGUAGUAGAGGAGAAAUGGGAAAGAGAGGAGGUUUAAUUUGUUGACAGAAGAUAGAGAGCACCGAUGAUCAAAAUGCACAUUCGCAUCUUCACUCAUUUGUGCUCUCUAUACUUCUGUCAUCACAUCACUCAUUUUACCUCCCUUCAUUUCCACUUCUCUUUUUUCUACCAUAUACUAUUUCAUUUCAUGUUUACAUUAUAAAUAUUCUACGAUUACAUGCAAAGUUUUGUGUUUGUUUGUGUAACCUUAUCACACAGUUAAUUUAAAGCUUUCAUUUCUAUUUAUUAAUGAUAGGGGGGUAGUACAUAUUUGGGAUAAAUAUAAUAGUCAUUUAAAUCACAAAAUUUGGUCAAAUUCUGGUCUGUCUCAUGAACUUUGAAAUUGGAAAAUUAUAUCAUGAAGUUUCACUUUUUCUCAAAUAUUGUCCCAUCCAUGAAAAAAUGUCGUCUUUUGACGAUAUUCAAAGCGAAAUGUUUUAUUAGUACUAAGUAUUUUAUUUUACUUUUUUAUUCAUUUAUUUACUCAUUUCUCUUCUUAUUUUGUUGGAGCGUUGUCGAUUUAUGCAUGGAUGAGACAAUUGAGAAAAAUUGAAACUUCAUGGUUUAAUAUUCUAAUUUUAAAGUUCACGAAACGGAUCAAAAUUUGACUAAAUUUCGUGAUUUAAAUGGUUAUUACUUAUUAUCCCUUCUGCUUAUUUUGUCCGGCACAUGCAUCUAUUAUACAAAGGCGUGAAAGAAGAACAAUUGUGCAGUAGUGGAACAUCUCUUCUACUUUCCUUUUUGUCUUUUUUAAAUGUUUUAAUAUGUUUCCUUUUUAUUCGAGAUCAAAAAUAUAAUUCUACUUUCCUUUUUGUCUUUUUUAAAUGUUUUAAUAUGUUUCCUUUUUAUUCGAGAUCAAAAAUAUAAAUAUAUUUUAGAAAAAAAAACAUACAUGUAUGUAUCUAGUUGGCUGUUGAUUAUGCAUGUCUGAAGAUGUGUAGUGAUAUUCAUUUCAUCUCAAAUUAAUUAAUCAAUUUAUGUCUUAUGAAUUGCUACAUUUGUAAUCCGUUUUGAAAUUUCGACAAUGGAGACUUUACAUCUAAGCACAAAAUUUGUAAAUAAUGGGACUCUUCGUGCUCAUUUUCAUUUAUUUACACAAUAUACUAAUUUAAUUAUUUUCAUUUCUGACAUUGGUGAAUAUGGGUUUAAACCAUGUAAUUCAUUGAUAUCUUGAAGGAAGAAGCGGUAUUUUUUCUAUCAACAGCGUUUUCAUUUGUUGGGUUUUGUGUUUAUUUAAUAUUCCUUAUUACGUUUUGUCUCAUUGUACUAUUACAUCUUUAACUUAUUAACUAUAAUGUCACAAUCUAAAGACAAUUACAUAUAGAUACUCAACAUAUUAAUUAUCGUAGGGUUAAUAAAAUAAAUAAAUAUCAACCACCAAGUUUUGGAAGUGUCCUGCCACCAGACUCUGACAAAAUCAAAAUUCUAAACUGAUGGGAAAUAGACCACUUCAAUUAAAAAAUAUUUAGCAUAUACUUUACCAAAAUAUAUAUAUAUAUAUAGGGGAGCAUUAAGCUCCUUUUACCCCUUUAGAUACUAUUUCCUUCUUAAUAUCAACUAUUAGAUGGAUGGAAUGGACGGACUAGAUUAAAAGAGUAGAUCUGAUCCCGUGUUGCAUUAUUAGUUCAUUUUUGUGCAUUAUAAGGGUAAAGCUGUAAAACAACAAUGGAUCCCACGCGUUACAAAACGGAAGGCGCGAUAUCAGCGGGAUAUUAAUUGAAACAGAUUGACCUUCCAUCCAAUCAGUCUCUCUCUCUCACAAUACCUCUCUCUUCCCUCAACCCACGAUCAAAACCCUUUCUCUCCCAUUUCCAUUCAUUUGUGAACCCUAGCCGCCGCUAAAUUGGGAGAAUCUCCACUAGAAUAGUCGACUGCUGUCGGCGUAACAUCCUUGGGCGACGAAGCAACGUUGUAAUCGGGGGGAGGUUUUGAAUCGACAACAAGAAUAACAGGAUAACCAUGUCGAAGAGAGGAAGGCCGUUUAAAACACAACCAACACCGAAUGCAGCAUUGGGUUGAUUUUGAGGAAGUGGUAGUCGAUGUUCUUCCAAUCGCAUUGGCCCACAAGCUUCGGCAUAGAUUAGCCGAGGGCAAAGCAGAGACCAGUACAGCCCGUGAAGAUGUUGAGCCUAGAAAACCUAGAGGAAAAAAGGCAAACCAUUUGUAUUGCCGUCGCACCCCGAUGGAGUUUUUGAAUGCUUUAAAAAGUCUUACUCCAAGGCAGAAAAAAGCUGUAAAGGAAUUGCAUUGAUAACAUAUGUUGGAAAUUCAAGUA